rnacentral:rRNA from 1 species
GAUGAACGCUGGCGGUAUGCUUAACACAUGCAAGUCGAACGGACUCUUCGGAGUUAGUGGCGGACGGGUGAGUAACGCGUGAGAAUCUGGCUUUGGGUUCGGGACAACCACUGGAAACGGUGGCUAAUACCGGAUGUGCCGAGAGGUAAAAGAGAAAUUGCCUGAAGAUGAGCUCGCGUCUGAUUAGCUAGUUGGUGAGGUAAAGGCUCACCAAGGCAGCGAUCAGUAGCUGGUCUGAGAGGAUGACCAGCCACACUGGGACUGAGACACGGCCCAGACUCCUACGGGAGGAAGCAGUGGGGAAUUUUCCGCAAUGGGCGAAAGACUGACGGAGCAAUACCGCGUGAGGGAAGAAGGCUCUUGGGUUGUAAACCUCUUUUCUUAGGGAAGAACAAAAUGACGGUACCUAAGGAAUCAGCAUCGGCUAACUCCGUG